CUGGGCAGACCUGGUACCUAUCAUCACGGACAGAACCAGGAAGCAACAGGAAAAGAAGGAAACGUAUAUGAUGGUCUUUGUUACUUCUACUACACACACUGUCCGUUAGUGUAGUGAUUUAAAAAAAAAUCCUUAUUAAAACUGGAAACUUGUUAGAAACAGGUUUUAAUCGGUGGUGCACUAAAUAACUAUACGUUUUAGGUAGGUCUUUUUAAAAUAUCGGGUUCAGUUCAGCUGUUGGGUGGGUAUAAUUUGUUGAACGUUUCAACAGGAAUCUGUUCCAAAAACUUCGUAAAUAGCAAGGUUGCCUACAAAUAACGCAUACAAAGUUGCGGCAGUAUUGCUGCAGAAUAUGAUACCUAUUAGGUAGUAUACUAAUUCAUUACGUUUUUCACUCGCCAUGAUUAUUCCGAAAAAAUGUCUGUCCUCACUCUGGUAGCCUAUUGACAAACAUUAAGAAUACGUUACGUGGUGAGUUUGCCUAUAUGGCAGCUAUUUCGCUAACGUUAGGUGAAUUGAUAAUGUUACUUUGUAGGCAUUUGUUGGCAACCGUGUACUUUACGAAGUUUUUGGAACAGAUUCCUGUUUUAACGUUCCACAAAUGAUACCCACCCGUAUUCAGGGCUGAUGGGAUCAGGAUGACCCGAUGGCUGUCUACAGCUAUCCCAUGUGUAAGGAAAGCUUCAUUCCCAGGCCUGUUCUGAAGAAAAACACUCUUCUGGCUGAAUUGGUGGAAAACUAAAGAAAACAGGACCCUGAGCUGCUCCUCCAGCUCGCUGUUAAACUGGACCUGGAAAUGUAGAGUGUGACGUCUGCACUGGGAGAACUCAAAGCAGUCAAGUCCUGUCUGGUGUGUCUGGCCUCUUACUGUGAGACUCAUCUCAAACUCACAAUAAAUCACCUGCCUUUAAGAAGCACAAACUGGUCAAAGCAUUGACACAACUACAGGAGAAAAUAUAAUCUCAUCAUGACAAACUGCUAGAGAUGUACUGCUGUACCUGUGUACGAUGGAUGAACAUAAAGGCCAUGAUGCUGGUUCAGCUGCACCAGAAAGGAUAGAGAAACUGGAUAGGAACCCCACUGUAAGAUCUCACACAGGCUAUUUACAAAAAUGUGUCUAUCUUCUAGCUGUAUACAUCAUCUAAACAGAUAGCAUGCCACCCCACACUAUUUAAUUUCAGCCUAAACUAUAUGUAUACAUGGUCUCUCAUUAAGUUCACAUAGGGCUGUUUGAUGUAUUAGACAGUACAUUUGUUUCAAUGUGGUAUGAUGUAUUUCUCUGCACAAACACAUUGGGAAGAAUCAUCAGAAAUUCAACCAGAUAAUCCAGGAAAGAGAGGAGGAGAUACAGGAGCUGAGACAGGCUGUGGAAUAUCUAAAGGACUCUGCACAGGCAGCAGUGGAGGACAGUGAGAGGAUCUUUACUGAGCUGAUCCACUCUAUUAAAACAAGGCACUCAGGUGAAGGAGCCGAACAGAGCCCAGGAGAAGGCUGAAGUGAGUUGGGCUGAAGGACUCCUGGAGCAACUGGAGCAGGAGGUGGCUGAGCUGAGGAGGAAAGAUGCUGAUAUAAAGCAGCUCUCUCACACAGAGGUCCACAUCCAUUUCCUCCAGGUGACAACCUAGGUUACAUCACUGGUUCUUUACAGGCCUGAGCAGUCUCACAUGAUCCCUGAAUACCAAAUCAUCCCAUACAUAGGCGCGUGUGUAGAUCAGAGAGGAUUGGAUAGGUAAGGCAAUAUGGUGUUUGCUCCAUCUUGUCCUCUGAAAGACCAUGUGGAAUUGUUGUCAUUUUAUGGGACACCUGUCUAAUUUUCCCUGAUCUCAAAAAGUUUUAGAUUGUAAAUGCCUUUGCUUCUCAGUCUUUUUCUUUCAUUUAUUUAUCUCUCAGUAGUUUCCAGUCUCUCUGUGUCCUUCCUGGAUCUGAAGCCUUACCCAGCAUCUCUGUCAACUCACACAAAUCUUAUGAUUUAUGAUGAAGAAAUGUGUCUCUGACCUGAAAAAGCCACUACUAAACUUGAUGAAAAAGAACAUGGUGAAGAUAUCUGGAGCAGUGAAAAAGGUUUACAUUGUUCCACUUACUGAUCCCAAUACCAGAGAGUUCUUGAAAUACUCCCGCUGGCUCACUUUGGAUCCAGACCCAGCCAAUGAGUACCUCUGGCUGUCUGAGGGGAACAGAAAGGGGAUAUGUAGAAGAGUCUCAGUCCUAUCCUUACCAUCCAGACAGAUUUAUCAACAUUGACUGGUGUUGUGUAGAAAGGGUAUGUCUGGAGCCUGCUACUGGGAAGUAGAGUGGAGCAGGGAGAGAGUUGAAGUAGCUGUCUCAUACAAAAGCAUCAGCAGGGAUAGAGAGGAAUAUGAGAGUUAUUUUCGAUGGAAUGAUCAGUUCUGGUGUUUGAACUGCAACCCACCCAUUCACACUUUCUGGCACAAUCAAAACAUGACGGAUAUCCCUGUCCCCUGCCCCUCCAGAGUAGGAGUGUACAUGGACCACAGGGCAGGAACUCUGUCCUUUUAGUGUCUCUGACACAAUGACCCUCCUCCACAGAGUUCUGACCACACUCACACAGCGUUUGGGUUUUAUUAUGAUGACUCAUCUGUGAGGAUACUGACACCUAUUCAAUGAUAAGCAUAUACAGUUUAGUUAUUCACACACAAAACAACUAGUGAAAGACAUACAGUGCAGGUGACGUUGGAAACCAGAGGAUUUAUAUGAAAACCACAACAGCAGCAAAAAUAUGUAUAUGAAAACCACAAAAUGAUAUGUUACAAAACAGAUUGUUCAAUCAACAAAUAUGUAUAAGCAAAUUAAGUAUAAACAAAGUGUAAACAAAUGAGUCAUAUGUGCACUUCAAUGGUGGAGGGAAUGAUGGUGAAGUCUGAGAGGGUAGUAGUCAAUUAUACAUACUUGAUUAUUAAGUUGCUUGGCUGUUUCACUAUAACUGAAAUCUGUGUUUUCGGGACGUUAGAAAAUAUUUGUAAUAAAACUAAUACUGUAUAUUGAUUAUGUGCCUUCGUGAAGAUAACUGCUUGAUUGUAUUGUAUCAUGUUUGUGUUAAAUGAUGUAGAAUAAACUUGAAAUGGAGGU